rnacentral:sRNA from 1 species
GAAAAAAAAUCCACUAGAUUCAACCAAUUCAGUGAAGCAUUUCAUGACACUUUUAGCUAUUAUACAAAUCAACUUACUUGCACCUGGUUAGAAACAGAAGUAGGCCACCAAUUUCCUUCAUAUUGCAAGGAUUCUUGGCCAAGGCAUAAUAUUUUAAUCAUGAUGAUAUGAAGGAUUUGAACACAGGUUAUUAUAAUAACAACAUUAGUGUAAGUCAAGUUUACUUUAGCCAACUUAAUGAAAUUAUGCGAAAAGUAUCUUAAUCUAGUUAUUAUUCCAUAGGAUGUUGGCAAGUUUACCUUCAUCUAUUUCAGUCAUGAUUACCUUUAUAUGUGGACAAAUAAGCCUAUACAGUAUUUCCAAGAAUGAGAACUUUGCAGGAUAGAGUCAUUUGACUUACAAGCCUCUUAGAGACCACUGGGACAUUGUUCUGGGCUGCCUUUGGUAUGGGGAACUCUCAGGCACCAGCUAUUAAAGAAGAAACAAAUAGCAGUCAGGUUAAUGGUGACUCAGAGAUUUCAGACAGUGUGCUGCUGAAAGUCAUUGAGGUGGUUGGCUACGUUUUGUAUGGAGUUUACAUUCUUGAUGCUGUCGUGGUCCUGAUUAACUUGUUCAUUGCUAUGAUGAAUUUGAAGACAUUUAGGUUUG